rnacentral:rRNA from 1 species
AUCUGUGGCCAUGCCACCCUGAAGGUGCUUGAUCUCAUCUGAUCUCAGAAGCUAAGCAGGGUUGGGCCUGGUUAGUACUUGGAUAGGGGACCCGUGGGAAUAUCAGGUACUAUAGGCU